CCUACGGGAGGCAGCAGUGGGGAAUAUUGCACAAUGGGGGAAACCCUGAUGCAGCGACGCCGCGUGAGCGAAGAAGUAUCUCUGUAUGUAAAGCUCUAUCAGCAGGGAAGAAAAUGACGGUACCUGACUAAGAAGCCCCGGCUAACUACGUGCCAGCAGCCGCGGUAAUACGUAGGGGGCAAGCGUUAUCCGGAUUUACUGGGUGUAAAGGGAGCGCAGGCGGCGCGGUAAGUCUGAUGUGAAAGCCCGGGGCUCAACCCCGGGACUGCAUUGGAAACUGUUGUGCUGGAGAGUAGGAGGGGCAAGUGGAAUUCAUAGUGUAGCGGUGAAAUGCGUAGAGAUUAGGAGGAACACCAGUGGCGAAGGCGGCUUGCUGGACGACAACUGACGCUGAGGCUCGAAAGCGUGGGGAGCAAACAGGAUUAGAUACCCCUGUAGUC
rnacentral:rRNA from 1 species